CGAACGGGUGAGUAAUGCGUGACCAACCUGCCCCAUGCUCCAGAAUAGCUCUUGGAAACGGGUGGUAAUGCUGGAUGCUCCAACUUGACGCAUGUCUUGUUGGGAAAGUGUUUAGUGGCAUGGGAUGGGGUCGCGUCCUAUCAGCUUGUAGGCGGGGUAAUGGCCCACCUAGGCUUCGACGGGUAGCCGGCCUGAGAGGGCGGACGGCCACAUUGGGACUGAGGUACGGCCCAGACUCCUACGGGAGGCAGCAGCC
rnacentral:rRNA from 1 species